rnacentral:lncRNA from 1 species
AUGUUUCAUUUCAUUAUAGGCCUUUUUGUGUUUCGCCUCUUUGAGAAAAGUACUUUUUUUUUUUUUUUCUCUUUUUUGGCUGCCCUGCGGCACAUGGAGUUCCUGGGCCAGGGAGCAGAACUGAGCUAUAGUUGCAACCAAACCCACUGCAGGGCUGGGAAUCCAACUUGCAUCCUGAUGUUGCAGAGACACGGCACCACAGUGGGAACUCCUGAGCCAAGUAAAUUUAAACAGAGAGAGACAGAUAAAGAUAUAGAGGUAUAUAUACGUGUACAUUAAAAAGCCACACAGCUGGAGGGAGCAAAAUUGGACUUCUAAGCUUUACAGUGAACAUGCUCAUCAAAGAAUCUUUGCAUGACAAUUUCCUCUUCCCUCUAUGCUUUCCUAUGGGGUGAAAAAAAUGAGAUCUGCUUAACAGCUCAAUUCCUUUUUAUGAGUUAAUAAUUUGCCCUUAAGUUUUAUAUUCCAGUCUACUGGUUAUCAUAAGCCAGUCUCUCUCACAUCUGGCUCCGCUAAAUAGUUGAGAACCUGAUCUGAGACAGGGAGGUCCUUGCUUACUGUAAUGCGAUGAUUCUAAGCUCAGGUGGCCUGUGGGACACAGAAUGGCAGUCUUCAGGCAGUGCCCUUGUUAUCUUCCUGUAUAUUUAUUCAAAUGAUAAUUUUCCCCCUGAAAUGAAAAUAUGAAAACACAGAACAGGGGAAGUUCUUCAUUCAGUAACUUGAUUCUAUCCUUUACAUCUUAAAGAGAAUGACUCACAGCUGAGCAACAGACAUCCACGGAGACCAGAAGCCUCAGAUUAGUUUCGUUUUGUUGUGCAUUGCAUCAAGAGUCCAGCAUGUAUUUUGCUCCAAUUUUCUCCCACAGGUUCUUGGUUUAAAGUUAAUGGGUCUGGAGAGAGUGGAAAUUUUGGAGGCUCUUGGUGCAAAAAGAUACCAGAUUCAAGAAUGGCCCCAGACGUAGGCCAGCGGCUACAGCUCUGAUUAGACCCCUAGCCUGGGAACCUCCAUGAGCUGUGGGUGCCAUCCUAAAAAGAUAAAAGAGAAAAAAAAAGAAAGAAAGAAAGAAAGAAAGGCCCCAGCUAGAAUUGGGAUCUCUAUUUUAUUUAUCUUCAUGCUCUCACAGACCCUCAAGCCGCUUCCUGGCUCUCCUUCAGCUGUGAAACAGGGUCAAUAAAUCAGUGACCCACCAACCA